rnacentral:rRNA from 1 species
CUGAAGUUUUCGGAUGGAAGAGAGUUCAGCUUAGUGGCGAACGGGUGAGUAACACGUGAGCAACCUGCCUUUCAUUGGGGGACAACAUUUGGAAACGAAUGCUAAUACCGCAUAAGACCACAGUGUCGCAUGGCACAGGGGUCAAAGGAUUUAUCCGCUGAAAGAUGGGCUCGCGUCCGAUUAGCUAGAUGGUGAGGUAACGGCCCACCAUGGCGACGAUCGGUAGCCGGACUGAGAGGUUGAACGGCCACAUUGGGACUGAGACACGGCCCAGACUCCUACGGGAGGCAGCAGUGGGGAAUAUUGCACAAUGGGGGAAACCCUGAUGCAGCGACGCCGCGUGGAGGAAGAAGGUCUUCGGAUUGUAAACUCCUGUCCCAGGGGACGAUAAUGACGGUACCCUGGGAGGAAGCACCGGCUAACUACGUGCCAGCAGCCGCGGUAAAACGUAGGGUGCAAGCGUUGUCCGGAAUUACUGGGUGUAAAGGGAGCGCAGGCGGAUUGGCAAGUUGGGAGUGAAAUCUAUGGGCUCAACCCAUAAAUUGCUUUCAAAACUGUCAGUCUUGAGUGGUGUAGAGGUAGGCGGAAUUCCCGGUGUAGCGGUGGAAUGCGUAGAUAUCGGGAGGAACACCAGUGGCGAAGGCGGCCUACUGGGCACUAACUGACGCUGAGGCUCGAAAGCAUGGGUAGCAAACAGGAUUAGAUACCCUGGUAGUCCAUGCCGUAAACGAUGAUUACUAGGUGUGGGAGGAUUGACCCCUUCCGUGCCGCAGUUAACACAAUAAGUAAUCCACCUGGGGAGUACGACCGCAAGGUUGAAACUCAAAGGAAUUGACGGGGGCCCG